AACUUCCAGCACGCUUUUGUUAGCCUUCAGCACUUUACAUUUAAAAUGGCAACUCAAGUUGCACUUGAAUGCGAUAGCACUAAAUAGUGAGGAGCUGUUGAUGCCCUCAGGGGUAGAGAGGCCUUGCAGAGAGAUCCUGACAAAUUAGAGGGCUGGGCAAUCACUAACAAUAUGAAGUUUAACAGGAGCAAGUGUUGGAUUUGGCAUCUGGGACGAGUCUGGCACAGACUGGGGACAAGGCUGGAGAGCAGCCCUGUGGAAAGGUAUCUGGGGGUUCUGGUUGACAGCGAGCUGAGCAUGAGCCAGCAGCGGGGCCUGGCAGCCACGAGGGCCAACCUUGUCCUGGGGUCCAUCAGGCACGGCACUGCUGGACGGUUGAGGGAAGGGAUUGUUCCGCUCUGCUCUGCACUGCUGCGGCCUCAAGUACUGCAGGAAACAGUAGCUACUUCAGAUGACCCAGGCCAGAUUCUUGUCUUCAGCAAAACAUUAUGGCACCAGUUAAAUCAACAGAAUGAUGUCAGUUUACAGAAUUAAGCAAAAGUUAAAAGGAUGAAGCUGAACAAAACCCUUUGACCUGUUGCUGGAUGAAGUUCACAGCUGGCUUUGUAAAUGGUGCUGAGAAACCUGAAGUGCUAUUGCUAAAGGCUGGAGUCUCCAGUGUCUUUAAGUGGUUUUGAGGAAACUGCUGUGCAUGAACCACUGUUACAUGAACCUGUGUCCCCAGCCUCAAAAGUGGGGUGAGUCAUCUCAUGGCUUAUCCCUAGGAUGACUUCAGUGUCUAUCAUUAUGUCAUCAAACUGUCUUCCAGCUUUCUACCCUCCUCCUUCUAUUUGAUUGCACGUGUUACCUUGUAAAAGGAUGUACUGUUUCCCACUCUGAAGAAUGUAUGAGUUAUUUUGUGGAUUCAUGAUUAAGUUUUUAUAUGUAACUGCUAGUGCCACUCUUCAGAGAGGAGAGAAUACCAGUUUCUUUUGUGACUGAAUUGAA